rnacentral:lncRNA from 1 species
AAUAUUGAGUAUCACUUUAGAAUAUAUUAAACAACCUAUCAAGAUUAAUGAGCUUAUUCAGAAAAGAAAAUAAGUCCUGAUCAAUUUCAGCGUGUUUGGACCAGCAGAUUCCAGGUGAUGGAUAGGCAGCUUCAUUUUAAUAGUCUGUUGGUACAGGGUGACCUGUAGCCUUUCCAGAAGAGGUAAAAUGAAUCCUCCGGUUGUCACCCCCUCCUUCCUCGCUCCAAUUCCAUCAUUAAUCCCCGUUUGAGGAUUUGAGUGCUGCCGAGGACUGACAGACUCCAUGAGGUUCAGCUGCUGCCUGGUACAUGUGGUCACCUGCAGCUUCUUCAGCCCUACAUAUAUUUUGUGCUGUUUUAGACUGCUCUUUCUUCCAUUAAAUGAGAGAUUAGAUCUGAAUGGCCACGUGAUCUUCUGAGUCCCAUCUGUAAGAAUCUGCAUUUCCACGGAAUUGGGGGAGCAAACGUUCUCAAAACAUUCUUAAAUGCAAACCCGCAGGCACAGCAUGUGUCUGUCAACUCCAAGAGCAUUUGGAUGUUCGAAGGGAGAGGAUGUUUGACAUCUAACCCGUCGUGGAAAGAGGAGCCUCUACAGUGACAUGAAGGCAAUGGAUUCUCAGCAUUACAAGGCAAGACAGAACUUGAAGGAAGAAGGCUGGGAGGAAACCAAUGUUGAAUGAACACUGACUCUGUGCUCAGCCCUGAGCAAGCAGUGGAAUGCCCCUGGGCUGUGAGCCACGAAUUCAAAUCCCAGCUUGUAGAGCUGUUCUGGGGGUUAGAAGUUUGGGGUCCCUCGUUGCUGCACUCGUUCCAGGUUUGGGGCUGGCGCUGCCCUUCUGACCCCUCCCUAAAGUGGACACAGGAGAAGGAGCGGGGAGAAGAGACAGGCGGCCAGGAGACACCCUGUUGAGGGCUCCCUCUGCUUGCAACAGGACCUGCUGAGGUUGCAGCUGAAGUGCUGGUCUUCCCAGAGAAAACAACCCCUCAUUCUCAAAGGAUGAGAGUGAGCCCUGCGGGGCUGCAUGCUCUUGGCCAUGGGAGAUCAACUGUGGUCACAUAGAGUGUAAUCAGUGUGUAUUUAUGGAUCACUCACUACAUGCAAGACCGGGACACAGCCGGGAUUUACUGUGGGGCUGAAAGCAAGUCACUUAAAAAGAAACCGCCCCUUCCGUACACAGCAGUACCAAGCCCCGA